rnacentral:lncRNA from 1 species
UUCUCAGAAGUGAAUGUCAACUUCCUGAUGUUUAUACUCAAGGAGAAUGAGGUUUGGAGAUCUGAGUAGUUUACUGAAGGCACUCACAUUGAAAGAUUUUAUGAAGCUGAAAUUCAAAUCUAGAUGUGCCCCAUCCAAAGACCACCCUCUUUAUACAGCAACAUGCUGCUUCCCCUGGAUCAAGAAACACAAGAUUAUUAUCUUCUGUGCCAUCAAGAACUUUCCACAAUUGCUUCAAGAAAUUUGUUUCCAAGUCAAUUAUAUCAAGUCUGCAACAUUUAAUGCUGGCAGAUUCUUGAUCUUACAAAAAGGUGUCAAAAAAAGUAUUGAGACAGCAACCAGAAUUCAUGUUUAUUCCUCAAGUAGUCCUUAACUGGUUGUUGACUGAAACAUCAAAGACCUGUCAUUUUCCUAUUACGCUACUAGAAUAUUAAUCAACUUCUUGCCAGCAGGAGAAAUGUAACUAUAUGGCAACUGUAAGAUGUUCCUAAAUGUUAUUGAUGUCAAGAUGUAAUGUGUGCAAAAG